UGGGGAAUAUUGGACAAUGGGCGCAAGCCUGAUCCAGCCAUGCCGCGUGAGUGAUGAAGGCCCUAGGGUUGUAAAGCUCUUUCAGCGAGGAGGAUAAUGACGUUACUCGCAGAGGAAGCCCCGGCUAACUUCGUGCCAGCAGCCGCGGUAAUACGAAGGGGGCUAGCGUUGUUCGGAAUCACUGGGCGUAAAGCGCACGUAGGCGGACUUUUAAGUCAGGGGUGAAAUCCCGGGGCUCAACCUCGGAACUGCCUUUGAUACUGGAAGUCUGGAGUCCGAGAGAGGUGAGUGGAACUCCGAGUGUAGAGGUGAAAUUCGUAGAUAUUCGGAAGAACACCAGUGGCGAAGGCGGCUCACUGGCUCGGUACUGACGCUGAGGUGCGAAAGCGUGGGGAGCAAAACAGGAUUAGAUACCCUGGUAGUCCACGCCGUAAACGAUGGAAGCUAGCCGUCAGGGUGCAUGCAUCUUGGUGGCGCAGUUAACGCAUUAAGCUUCCGCCUGGGGAGUACGGUCGCAAGAUU
rnacentral:rRNA from 1 species